ACCCGAGCCCGAGCAGCGCCAGUCGUCCGCGCGCCGCCGUGCCCCCCGCCCGCACCGUGCGCUGCGCUGCGUGCCGCCCGGCCCGGCUCCCUCCCUCAUCGCGUGCAACGACAACACCAGCGGUGCGAGUGCGUGCGUGCGCGCGCGCGUGUCAGUGGCACGAGAGCAGUGUGCAAGCAGGCUGUGCAAGCCCGGCAAAUUCAGUGACAAGUGCGGAAAAGGGGCUGUUGUGAAGUCGUUUCGACGACGACGUCCUCGUCGUCGUCGUCGUUGUUGUCGUCGACGCUGGUUCAGGAGGUGGUGUCCGUGGCGGUGACAACUGCAGCGGGAGCUGCAGCAGCAGCAGCAGCUUGAGCAGGACGGUGCACAGGUGCCCGAGCAGCAGGCGCUGGAAAUGGUGGCGUAGCGACGCCCGACGCCGCCGGUCGCCAUGUUAUUGGCGCAUGCCAGUGCCAAGCGCGAAGCAGACCUGCCCCUCCCCCUCAACCUGAAGGCAGAGGUGAGCGUUGGUGUCUCGGCGGCAGUGGCUUCCGUAUAGUGCGCUCGCCGUCUCCCUGUACCCACAGUGAGUAGUAUAGAGGAAGCGGAAAGGUCGAUGAAUGCAGCAGCAGUGUUCUGGGAUCUUCGGAUUCUCUCUCCC